GCUCCGCCUGUGAGGAGUGACGUGGCACCGCGUAUUCUACCGCAGUGCAUUCGUCGCUGCGUUCGUGCCUGUUAUGUGCGCUGCAACCUCGCCUUUGAAAGGACGACAACCUUGCUUUCUAAUUACAAGUUUAAUGUUUGCUUAAGACGAUGGACACAUUGCAAAUGGCGGCAGGAGUGGAUCGGCUACAUCGGUGAAGCGACGAUUUAUAUUACAAGAGAGGCUAAUUGUAUUCUUUCGUUACAGGUGAACGUGGGACUGUAUCGACUGCAAGGACGUAGUGUCCUGUCUCAACGGUCACGCAUAUGCGUGCAAAACUGCAACUGCUUCUCACAUCGAAGAGGGGCCUGGUGCCACAUGCUCGGACAAUUAUUCGUCGGCCAUUUCGUUUGGGGAACUGUCGUGUUCGUCACUAACAAUGGCCUUGGUUGAGCUUUGCAGUGCCAGCCUGGUGCAUCGGAGGGGUUGUGUCCAUGCAACGUGUGCUUCAUAUGUGUGUGUUGGGAUUAGUGAACCGUGUAUGCUUUCCAUUCAGCCAACGAUGAUGUACUGGAUGAAAUUUAAAGAGCAUUCAAGAAAACCUGUGAAGCGAAAAAGCCGCUGCUCCUUGCUCGCUCUUUCGCUGCUCCUUGAGGGCACAUUAAGC